AAAUAAAUUAAGACAUGCCUACAUUAUUGGUAAUAUCCUGCUCUUUUUCAUCAAUAAUAAAGUCACCAAAGCAAGUUUGAUAAUAACCUCAACUGAGAACAACUAAACUCGAUUUCCUGGAACUUCAAUGCGUCAAAAAAGGUCUCUACAAGUCUCUUUAAGAGGUUCCAAGAAGCUGAAAAAUAGACAAUAAGCAAUCAAAGUCUAUGUUAGCAAGCAGGAAAUAUUCUCUUAAAUCGUUAAAAGAAAAUUGCUACAUUUAAAAUAGUAUUACACAUAUUACUUCUAAACACAAA
rnacentral:lncRNA from 1 species